UAAGGGCACCUUUCGAGGAGAAU
rnacentral:piRNA from 1 species